GACGAACGCUGGCGGCGUGCUUAACACAUGCAAGUCGAACGGAAAGGCCCUGCUUUUGUGGGGUGCUCGAGUGGCGAACGGGUGAGUAACACGUGAGUAACCUGCCCUUGACUUUGGGAUAACUUCAGGAAACUGGGGCUAAUACCGGAUAGGAGCUCCUGCUGCAUGGUGGGGGUUGGAAAGUUUCGGCGGUUGGGGAUGGACUGGCGGCUUAUCAGCUUGUUGGGGGGGUAGUGGCUUACCAAGGCUUUGACGGGUAGCCGGCCUGAGAGGUUGACCGGCCACAUUGCGACUGAGGUACGGCCCAGAAUCCUACGGGAGGCAGCAGUGGGGAGUAUGACGCAAUGGGCGGAAGUCUGAUGCAGCAACGCCGCGUGCGUGAUGCCGGCUUUCGGGGUGUAAACCGCUUUCGCCUGUGACGAAGCGUGAGUGACGGUAAUGGGUAAAGAAGCACCGGCUAACUACGUG
rnacentral:rRNA from 1 species